UAGGAGCAUAGACAAUGAACAAGCAGUACGAAUCUGCCUUUAUGAGGAACAGUAUCGUUCAACGGUUUUUCAUAUUAGAAACACGAUAAUGUGGACGUGCUACGGAAUAGUUACCUAUUUAAACGUUACGAUUUUCGUGUUUAGCAAGUGUUUGUGCAAUUGGAUGGGUUAUGCGGCAACCAGAUAGACUAUUCCACAUGUGGAAGUAAGUCGUAGUUUUAAUUCGUUUUCUUAUUUACUAAUAAAUAAGUUUUCUUAUUUAUUUUUUUUCUUAUUUUUAUUAUAUCCUUCGUCUCUAAUGUACACUACUUACAUUUAUACAUUUAUAUUAACGUAAGAGUGACGAUAUAGAUAUGUCGGAGAU
rnacentral:lncRNA from 1 species